rnacentral:rRNA from 1 species
ACUUAAGCAUAUCAAUAAGCGGAGGAAAAGAAACCAACAGGGAUUGCCCUAGUAACGGCGAGUGAAGCGGCAACAGCUCAAAUUUGAAAUCUGGCUCUUUCAGAGUCCGAGUUGUAAUUUGCAGAGGGCGCUUUGGCUUUGGCAGCGGUCCAAGUUCCUUGGAACAGGACGUCACAGAGGGUGAGAAUCCCGUACGUGGUCGCUAGCUAUUGCCGUGUAAAGCCCCUUCGACGAGUCGAGUUGUUUGGGAAUGCAGCUCUAAAUGGGAGGUAAAUUUCUUCUAAAGCUAAAUAUUGGCCAGAGACCGAUAGCGCACAAGUAGAGUGAUCGAAAGAUGAAAAGCACUUUGGAAAGAGAGUCAAACAGCACGUGAAAUUGUUGAAAGGGAAGCGCUUGCAGCCAGACUUGCUUGCAGUUGCUCAUCCGGGCUUUUGCCCGGUGCACUCUUCUGCAGGCAGGCCAGCAUCAGUUUGGGCGGUGGGAUAAAGGUCUCUGUCAUGUACCUCUCUUCGGGGAGGCCUUAUAGGGGAGGCGACAUACCACCAGCCUAGACUGAGGUCCGCGCAUCUGCUAGGAUGCUGGCGUAAUGGCUGUAAGCGGCCCGUCUUGAAACACGGACCAAGGAGUCUAACAUCUAUGCGAGUGUUUGGGUGUCAAGCCCGAGCGCGUAAUGAAAGUGAACGGAGGUGGGAACCCGCAAGGGUGCACCAUCGACCGAUCCUGAAGUUUACGGAAGGAUUUGAGUAAGAGCAUGGCUGUUGGGACCCGAAAGAUGGUGAACUAUGCUUGAAUAGGGUGAAGCCAGAGGAAACUCUGGUGGAGGCUCGCAGCGGUUCUGACGUGCAAAUCGAUCGUCAAAUUUGGGCAUAGGGCGAAAGACUAAUCGAACUAUCUAGUAGCUGGGUUCCUGCGAGUCCCC